rnacentral:pre_miRNA from 1 species
UUAACUCAAAUUUGUAUGGACUUGGAGCGUUGGUCUACGUUUGCUGCUAGUGACGCUUUUCCAACUGCAUACAAAUUUGAGUUA